rnacentral:rRNA from 1 species
GACGAACGCUGGCGGCGUGCUUAACACAUGCAAGUCGAGCGGAGCGGCGAACGGGUGAGUAACGCGUGAGUAACUGCCCCCCUCUCUGGGAUAACAGUUGGAAACGGCUGCUAAUACCGGAGAGUGGGGGAUGACUCGCGUCCUAUCAGCUUGUUGGUGGGGUAGGGGCCUAACAAGGCGACGACGGGGAGCCGGCCUGAGAGGGCGACCGGCCAGAUUGGGCUAGAUUACGGCCCAAACUCCUACGGGAUGCGGCCGUGGGGAAUAUUGAACCAGGGGGGAAACCCUGAUGCAGCAACGCCUCUUGCGGGAUGACGGCCUUCGGGUUGUAAACCGCUUUCAGCCAUGACUCGGUAGUGGCAGAAGAAGCACCGGCUAACUACGUGCCAGCCGCCGCGGUAAUUC